AUUGAACGCUGGCGGCAGGCCUAACACAUGCAAGUCGAACGAGUGGCGGACGGGUGAGUAAUGUCUGGGAAACUGCCCGAUGGAGGGGGAUAACUACUGGAAACGGUAGCUAAUACCGCAUACCAUCGGAUGUGCCCAGAUGGGAUUAGCUAGCAGGUGGGGUAACGGCUCACCUAGGCGACGUUCCCUAGCUGGUCUGAGAGGAUGACCAGCACCACGUGAACUGAGACACGGUCCAGAAUCCUACGGGAGGCUGCAGUGGGGAAUAUUGCCCAACGGGCGCAAGCCUGAUGCAGCCAUGCCGCGUUUAUGAAGAAGGCCUUCGGGUUGUAUAGUACUUUCAGCGAGGAGGCGUUACCCGCAGAAGAAGCACCGGCUAACUCCGUGCCAGCAGCCGCGGUAAUUC
rnacentral:rRNA from 1 species